rnacentral:misc_RNA from 1 species
GGAGGGAUCAUUAACACGUAUCCAAACGUUAUAAACCCAAACCGUGCUCUUUUUCUUUUGUGUUUUACACAAGUCCUAUAGAGAUAGGUGAUUCGUAAGUCAUAGAUGGAAUUCUUCUAUGGAAACAUAGAGGUCUACUUACAAUCUAUCGGUCAUAAGACCAACUGAAUUUCUAUAGUGUAUACAAGCCAUCUGGUUAUAUGUGCCACCCCGGUCUCGACCCGGAGCCGUAUAGCCUUAGUAAACCCCCAACCUUUUUUUACCCCUUUCAAUAUAAACAACUGACUUAACUUUUCUGAAUUGUAAUGAUUUAGAAAGUAUACGAAACGCGAACAACUCUUAGCAAUGGAUAUCUUGGUUCUCGUACCGAUGAAGAACGCAGCGAAAUGCGAUACGUAAUGCGAAUUGCAGAAUUCAGUGAAUCAUCAAAUCUUUGAACGCAAAUUGCGCUCUCGGGAUAGCCCUGGGAGCAUGCCUCUCUGAGUAUCGGUUUCAAAUCAUAUCGUCAGCAUACUUUUGAUAAAAGAGUAUACUGUGCGGAAAAUGAGUGUCUCGAUUUCUGAACAAAUUGAGUCGCUUGAAAAAUAUACGAAGUUUCAGAACUCCCUAGUAGUAGCCUAACUCCUGUUUGGAUUCGUUCAAACAUAGCUCUUAUAUGCUUCAUUGGUCUAUUGAUAUAAUACAAUGACAUGAUAAGGGAUUAUAAGAAUAGUUGGCUUAGUUACUGGUGACGUGGAUAGAAUACCUUCGGGUGUUUCAAAACGUCAAUGCCUUUAAUUGAGUCCAUGCUUUCAUAUGAUCCUUCUUAUUAUAUUGUUCAGCCUAACGUAUUACAUAUGUAUGGGCCUGUUGAAUAGUAUAAGAGUGAAAGGUUAGUGUCUAAUAUGUGGUUGAGCCGCUGUUAAAUUUCCGAGGAAAUCACCUUCACUUGGUAACAAGUGAUUGACUUAGAUCUCAGAUGAAGCAAGAGGACCCCCUGAAUUUAAGCAUAUUAUUAAGGGGAGGAAAAGAAACUAACAAGGAUUCCCCUAGUAACGGCGAGUGAAGCGGGAAGAGCUCAAAUUGAAAAUCGGCAACCCAUGCGGGUUGUCGAAUUGUAGCCUAGAGACGUAUUGUCAGCGUGUGGCCCAGGUAUAAAUCUUUUGAAACAAGGUAUCACAGAGGGUGAGAAUCCCGUCUUUGACCUGGAGAUCGCCGCGUACGACAUACGUUCAUAGAGUCGAGUUGCUUGGGAAUGCAGCUCUAAAUGGGUGGUAAAUUUCAUCUAAAGCUAAAUAUCGACGAGAGACCGAUAGCGAACAAGUACCGUGAGGGAAAGAUGAAAAGAACUUUGAAAAGAGAGUUAAAAAGUACUUGAAAUUGUUAAGAGGGAAGCGCUGGAAACCAGUCAUUAUCUAUAUCUAUCUUUACUAUUUGCUGUCGAAGAAGUAUUUAGAUCAGAGCGUAAGCCUGGUUUGGGUCUUGGACGAACGGUGAGUGGGUCCUGUAGAUGUAGAUGGGUCAGAAUCAAUUCGAUUCGCGGGUGAAGGCUAUGGGAAAGGUAGGAUCUCCGGAUCUGUUAUAGUCCUAUAGCCCUACCGUGGGUUGGAUUGAGGAUGUUUAAUGUGCGCCGCAAGGUUUCGGUUGCCUAUUUCUGCUGGGUUAGUUGCUUUGGAGAACAUUGUUCUGCGGGUGACGAAGCUUGGUACUAAGUGGGACAAUCAGAUGCACAUUCGCGAUUCUGACGAAAUGGUUUUCAUCGACCCGUCUUGAAACACGGACCAAGGAGUCUAACAUGUAUGCGAGUAUUUGGGUGGUAAACCCUGAUGCGUAAUGAAAGUAAAGGCAGUUUCGGCUGCUGAGGUAGGAAUCCGGGCAACUGGAGGCACUAUCGACUGAUCGUCACUUGUGAUAGAUUUGAGUAAGAGCAUAUCUGUUGGGACCCGAAAGAUGGUGAUCUAUGCCUGAACAGGGUGAAGCCAGGGGAAACUCUGGUGGAGGCUCGUAGCGAUACUGACGUGCAAAUCGUUCGUCUGAUUUGGGUAUAGGGGCGAAAGACUAAUCGAACCAUCUAGUAGCUGGUUCCCUC